rfam:Calothrix sp. HK-06 NIES-2101_Scaffold_11, whole genome shotgun sequence.
CUUUCAACCCGCCUCAAGCUGAGAUGGACGCUGAAAC